CCAGAGAGUGGAUUGGUUGCCUUCGGGAACUCUGACACAGGUGCUGCAUGGCUGUCGUCAGCUCGUGUCGUGAGAUGUUGGGUUAAGUCCCGUAACGACGCGCAACCCUUGUCCUUAGUUACCAGCACGUUAUGGUGGGCACUCUAAGGAGACUGCCGGUGACAACCGAGGAAGUGGGAUGACGUCAAGUCAUCAUGGCCCUUACGGCCUGGGCUACACACGUGCUACAAUGGUCGGUACAAAGGGUUGCCAAGCCGCGAGGUGGAGCUAAUCCCAUAAAACCGAUCGUAGUCCGGAUCGCAGUCUGCAACUCGACUGCGUGAAGUCGGAAUCGCUAGUAAUCGUGAAUCAGAAUGUCACGGUGAAUACGUUCCCGGGCCUU
rnacentral:rRNA from 1 species